UUUGAGGAUGGGAUAAAUUAGCGGGAUGAAGAAUGGGUUAGGAGCAUUCUGAGCUUAGGGGACAGCAAGAGUGAAGCCCUCGAGGUCUGAGAAAUUGCAAGCAUAUUCCAGGAUGUGUCUGCAGAUGAUGAGAUAGGUCUUCCUGGGUCUCUGCUUCUACUCUUCUGUCUCAAGGAGCUGAGAGGGGAAUGGGGCCAGGAAAUGGGACCCAGUUUCUUAUUAUGGCCACUGAAGCGCUGAAUUUCCUUCUUAGCUUCCUGGAUAAGCAGCCUUGUUAACGAGGUACACGAGGUUGACGACACCAUCCAGACCCUGCAGCAGCGCCUGAGGGAUGCAGAGGACACCCUGCAGUCGCUGGUCCACAUCAAAGCCACACUCGAGUAUGACCUGGCUGUCAAAGCCAAUUCCCUGUACAUCGACCAGGAAAAAUGCAUGAGCAUGCGCAAGAGCUACCCCAACACCCUCCGGCUGGUCGGCUUCUGCUAGGGACCCCACCGGGUGUGGUUUUGAUACCCCUAAGUUAAGGCUGAGCCAGAGCACUGUCUCAGCAUUUGAACCGAAUGCUAAUAUAGUCACUUAUUAAAGGAUUAUGCUGAUGGAAAUGUACCAACCUCCUGUCUCGGAAAGCCUUUUGUUUGCAUCCAAACCUUAAUUUUCUAUUAUUUACUAGGCGUCUG
rnacentral:lncRNA from 1 species